GGGUUGUCCGGAAUUAUUGGGCGUAAAGGGCUCGCAGGCGGUUUCUUAAGUCUGAUGUGAAAGCCCCCGGCUCAACCGGGGAGGGUCAUUGGAAACUGGGAAACUUGAGUGCAGAAGAGGAGAGUGGAAUUCCACGUGUAGCGGUGAAAUGCGUAGAGAUGUGGAGGAACACCAGUUGGCGAAGGCGACUCUCUGGUCUGUAACUGACGCUGAGGAGCGAAAGCGUGGGGGAGCGAACAGGAUUAGAUACCCUGGUAGUCCACGCCGUAAACGAUGAGUGCUAAGUGUUAGGGGGUUUCCGCCCCUUAGUGCUGCAGCUAACGCAUUAAGCACUCCGCAUGGGGUCCA
rnacentral:rRNA from 1 species